rnacentral:lncRNA from 1 species
CUCUCAGCUACCCCCUUGAACCUCGCACUUGACUGUAAAUACCAACGUCGCUUCGCUAACUCGGGGAGGGGAUUUGGGGAGCCAAAUCUCCGUCCCGCCGGCGGGCAAAGGUUUGAAGAUGGGAACGCGGAGCGAGCCGGAUGCGGCUCCACCAUGCCGACCCUUGGGGCACGAGCGGAGCGGGAAGGAAGGAAGGAAGGAAGGAAGGAAGGAAGGAAGGAAGGAAGGAAGGAAGGAAGGAAGGAAGGAAGGAAGGAAGGAAGGAAGGAAGGAAGGAAGGAAGGAAGGAAGGAAGGAAGGAAGGAAGGAAGGAAGGAAGGAAGGAAGGAAGGAAGGAAGGAAGGAAGGAAGGAAGGAAGCCGUGUUGUGCAGGGCCUGCGCCUGGAAGCGGCGUUUCUUCGAGCAUCUUUCGCCCGACGCGCCAGCAGCCCGGUGCGACUGCAGAAGUUUAAAAAUGGUGACUGAGUUGUACAGGAGAACCAGGACAAUCCCAAAAAUUGCUGAGGUGAGGCUGGCUGGCCAGGGAGUUUCCAGAUGAGAUACUUUAAAUGAAGCAGCGCUGCAGAGGCCAGAGCAAUACCAUGAGUUUAAAUUCUAUACGUUAAUAGCCACGUCCUCCUAAUUUUCCUUGGGAUCCAUCCAGUUUGCAGUUCGCCUUCCCAUACAGGGAGAGCUUAAUCCCUGAUGCUGUGCUUCAGAGGAAUCUCUUCCGGAAUGCACCUUUAAUCUUCCUCCCUGGACGGUCUCCUUCCUUGACAAUGUCAUGUCCUCUCCAGAAAUUUAAGCGUGAGGUAAAAAACAUGAUCAGUUUGUCAUUGAGGUUGGAGACUUACUGAUUAGCAUAAGUAGGAAAUGCAGUCCAGAUCUGGUAGUGCACUUUGAACAUAUUACCCUUAACCAUGAGACUGUUCU